ACGCUCGACACCUACGUGAGGCAGCAGUGAGGAAUAUUGGUCAAUGGGCGCAGGCCUGAACCAGCCAAGUAGCGUGAAGGAUGACUGCCCUAUGGGUUGUAAACUUCUUUUAUAUGGGAAUAAAGUUUUCCACGUGUGGAAUUUUGUAUGUACCAUAUGAAUAAGGAUCGGCUAACUCCGUGCCAGUAGCCGCGGUAAUCUGAGCGGGCUGGCAAGGC
rnacentral:rRNA from 1 species